CACCACCCUACACCGGGGAUGUCAGUCAGGCUGGCAGGGACGGGCAGCUGUGGGGUCCUGUGCCCCCCUCCCCUAGAGCCUGGGGGUGAAGCCGACACUACCCUGACCUGCAUUGGCUGCGGGGGGCACGGCCCAGCACCCAGGAGCCUCGGCUCUGUCCUGUGAGAAGCCACUGCCGUGCCUGGCACCACUGGAGCCAGGAACCCCGGCGGGACGUCCUCCCUCGGCUCCGUGGGGCUCGGCGUGGGUGAGCGGCUGCUGUGCUGGAGCCUGGAGGCACCCGAGGCGGGAGGCGCUGCGUUCUGCUGCUCCAGGGGUCUGCAGAAUCCGACGCCGGUGACGGCAGCCACCAGCCACCCGAUCACCUCCCUGCGGGGGCACAGCUCAGAGCGAUUUGAAGGGAUCCUUGCACCCCAAGCUCUCGCUCUUGGCCCGCAGGAGGUGCCAGCCUAUGCUUGCAGCACUCAGCCCAGCGUGCGGGGGCUCCUUACUUGAUGUUGCCGAAGCUCUGGUCGCAGGACAGCACCUGCUUGGCGAUGGUCAUGGAGGGGCGCUGCAGCCGCAGGCCCAGCUGGACAUCGUCCUCCAGCGUCUGCACCACCAAGAGCCAAGCCCUGGAGGGAAGGGAUGCUGGGCCCUACCUCGUCUUCCAUGAUGUGUCUGAGCAGUGGCCAGUCCCAGCCUAUGCCUGUCGCGGUGCUGGCUGGAUGGAGCCUAAAGCAGAGGGGGAGCCCAGGAGGGCCCUGAGCUGCCUGGGGGAGCACAGAGC